rnacentral:snRNA from 1 species
UUACUUACCUGCCAAGGGAGAUGACUAAGGUGGUUCUCCUAGGGAGAGGCUUGUCUAUUGCACUCCAGAUGUGCUGAUGCCUGCAAUUUCCCCAAAUGUGGGAAACUAGACUGGAUAAUUUGUGGGGAACUACCUUCAUGUUCUUGCCUG